AGUGAACGCUGGCGGUAGGCCUAACACAUGCAAGUCGAACGGCAGCACAGUAAGAGCUUGCUCUUACGGGUGGCGAGUGGCGGACGGGUGAGGAAUACAUCGGAAUCUACUUUUUCUUGGGUGAUAACGUAGGGAAACUUACGCUAAUAGCGCAUACGACCUACGGGUGGAAGCAGGGGAUCUUCGGGCCUUUCGCGAUUGAAUGAGCCGAUGUCGGAUUAGCUAGUUGGCGUGGUAAAGGCCCACCAAGGCGACGAUCCGUAGCUGGUCUGAGAGGAUGAUCAGCCACACUGGAACUGAGACACGGUCCAGACUCCUACGGGAGGCAGCAGUGGGGAAUAUUGGACAAUGGGCGCAAGCCUGAUCCAGCCAUACCGCGUGGGUGAAGAAGGCCUUCGGGUUGUAAAGCCCUUUUGUUGGGAAAGAAAAGCAGCAGGUUAAUCCCCCGCUGUUCUGACGGUACCCAAAGAAUAAGCACCGGCUAACUUCGUG
rnacentral:rRNA from 1 species